UACGAAGGGGGGCUAGCGUUGCUCGGAAUCACUGGGCGUAAAGCGCACGUAGGCGGCUUAUUAAGUCAGGGGUGAAAUCCUGGAGCUCAACUCCAGAACUGCCUUUGAUACUGGCGAUCUUGAGUUCGGGAGAGGUGAGUGGAACUGCGAGUGUAGAGGUGAAAUUCGUAGAUAUUCGCAAGAACACCAGUGGCGAAGGCGGACUCA
rnacentral:rRNA from 1 species